rnacentral:rRNA from 1 species
UAAAAGUUUGGUCCUGACUUUACUAACAACUUUAUCUAAAGUUACACAUGCAAGUAUCCGCACCCCCGUGAGAAUGCCCUACAGUUCCCUGCCCGGGAACAAGGAGCUGGUAUCAGGCACACCCCCGUGUUUAGCCCAUGACACCUUGCUUAGCCACACCCUCAAGGGAACUCAGCAGUGAUAAACAUUAAGCCAUAAGUGAAAACUUGACUUAGUUAAAGCUAAGAGGGUCGGUAAAACUCGUGCCAGCCACCGCGGUUAUACGAGAGACCCAAGUUGUUAGACAUCGGCGUAAAGAGUGGUUAAGUACUAUUACUUACUAAAGCCGAACACCUCCGAAGCUGUCAUACGCACCUGAAGACAGGAAGUUCAAUCACGAAAGUGGCUUUAUACCAACUGAAUCCACGAAAGCUAGGGCACAAACUGGGAUUAGAUACCCCACUAUGCCUGGCCUUAAACAUCGAUGGCAUCUUACAACUACCAUCCGCCCGGGUACUACGAGCAUUAGCUUAAAACCCAAAGGACUUGGCGGUGCUUUAGACCCACCUAGAGGAGCCUGUUCUAAAACCGAUAACCCCCGUUAAACCUCACCCUUCCUUGUUUUUCCCGCCUAUAUACCACCGUCGUCAGCUUACCCUGUGAAGGCUUAAAUAGUAAGCAAAAUUGGCACAGCCCAAAACGUCAGGUCGAGGUGUAGCGUAUGGAGGGGGAAGAAAUGGGCUACAUUCCCUAAUCUAGCGCAUACGGACAACACGUGAAACACGUAUUCGAAGGAGGAUUUAGCAGUAAGCAGAAA